UACGAAGGGGGCUAGCGUUGUUCGGAAUUACUGGGCGUAAAGGGCGCGUAGGCGGCCUUGUAUGUCGAUUGUGAAAGCCCCGGGCUCAACCUGGGAACUGCAGUUGAAACUGCAAGGCUUGAAUGUUGGAGAGGUUGGGGGAAUACCUAGUGGAGAAGUGAAAUUCGUAGAGAUUAGGUGGAACACCAGAGGCGAAGGCGCCUGACUGGCCAAACAUUGACGCUGAGGCGCGAAAGCGUGGGUAGCAAACAGG
rnacentral:rRNA from 1 species